GCAUCAAUCUAAUCAAUCUAAGAUAAAACUGGUUGUAAACUGAUACAACCAACAAAAAUUGUAUCUACAGCCUUUAUUGCAAAUUCAACUGGUGAAGAAACUCCUAAUUGUGUCUGUUUCCCUCCUCUAGAGAUCACCUGAUCAAAUCACCUGUCUACCCAGCUGCUCCUCAUUUGAAGUCAGUCCCAGUGAGAUGUUGUCAAUACCAGAUGCAGGUAUAAACCAAUACUUCAAUUAGACCAUUCCAAGAUCCAGGGAUCCAGUCUUACUACCAGUAUCACCAAGUUGGCAACCAUCCACAUCCAUAAUCAACCAACUGAAUGAAGACACAAGAAACCAAAAUAAACGUCCACUUCUAAGAUAGAAUAAGUGACAUCUGAUCCUGUUUGAUAAAGUUCAGUUGAGAGAAGGGAAGCAGAAGAUGAAAGAACUGAUUCAAAAAAAGAUCUAGAACAAUGACAUCAGAGUGGAUCCACAUCCCCCGUCAGCAGCAUGUUGAGGGCAGCCCUGACCCUCCCUGCCUCCACUCCCUUUUCCUCACCACUACCCAGUCUUCUCAUCUCGCUGACAGGCUUUGAAACAUGGUGUCUAUGAGACAAGAAUGAGAGAGAGAGAGACUUUGACACAGACAGAGGCAGGGAUGGAAAACAUCCAGAGAUAUAAACACAAAGAGAGAGAAAGAGAGAGAGGGACUGGUGGCUGAGAGGUGUCAUCACAUCACACUCAAGCCUGCCUUCUUCUAUCAAACAGCCUCCAGUGGUCUUUAAGUACCGUCACUGUGUGUCCCUCUUGUCCUGGAGAACAUAAAACCACACGACUGCCCCUUGUCCUGUGUGUCACUUUUUAUAGACAAAUAGCAGUGCAUAAAGUUGUCAACAUCACAGAGAGAAAAUUUGUUAUUUUUACUCGCAGGAUGGUGCAUUUACCCAAACUGAUAGUUUCACCCUUCAGCCAUUGUUUCAGCACCAUCUGAGGAAGAGAGAUUGGAUAAUAGCUCUCACUUUUCGGGCCACUCUAUGCCACUUCACAUGGGAUCUGAACCAGACACCUCCUGAUUACUGCUAGUUGGUCUUUAGAGGUCUAUUCUUUAAUCAGCUGUCCAGUUCAAUUACACAGUGUGUGACAUGAAGAAAUGCAAGGAAAUACAUCAUUGUGCCCUGAGUCAUAGACGGAGCCUGCCUACACCCACACAUCUCUACCCGA